ACCAAAAACAUCGCCUCCUGCAUAAUAACUCAACGUAUAGGAGGUCCUGCCUGCCCAGUGACAACUAGUUAAACGGCCGCGGUAUUUUGACCGUGCUAAGGUAGCGCAAUCACUUGUCUUUUAAAUGAGGACCUGUAUGAAUGGCGGAACGAGGGCUUAACUGUCUCCUUUUCCUAGUCAAUGAAAUUGAUCUACCCGUGCAGAAGCGGGUAUACUAAUACAAGACGAGAAGACCCUUUGGAGCUUAAGAUAAAAGGCCAACUAUGUCAAAGGCCCAAAUAAAACUAAGCCAAACAAAACAGCCAACUGGCCAAUAUCUUCGGUUGGGGCGACCGCGGGGGAAAACAAAGCCCCCACGUGGAACGGGGAAUAUACCCUAAAACCAAGAGAGACAUCUCUAAGUCACAGAACAUCUGACCAAAAGAUCCGGCCAACCAAGCCGAUCAACGGACCAAGUUACCCUAGGGAUAACAGCGCAAUCCCCUCCAAGAGUUCAUAUCGACAAGGGGGUUUACGACCUCGAUGUUGGAUCAGGACAUCCUAAUGGUGCAGCCGCUAUUAAGGGUUCGUUUGUUCAACGAUUAAAGUCCUACGUGAUCUGAGUUCAGACCGGAGCAAUCCAGGUCAGUUUCUAUC
rnacentral:rRNA from 1 species